CCUGCGUCUUAGUUUCGCUUUCAAUACAUCAGCGUGGAGUCCCGCCCAGUAGAGUACAGCGAGCCAAUCAGCGGCCCGCGGCUCAGAGGCCCCGCCCCCGAGCGGAGUCGGAGAUGAAGGCUGUAGAGGUCUUUGCUAACGGAGUGUGUCUCUGUACAAGGAACCUGGUGACUGAAGCCUCAUCUGAGGCUCACAUUGACAGCCUGUUAUGAUUAUUAUAUAUCAUUGAUUGUGGAGACGCCAAAACUUGUCUUUGAAGGCACAGUUCCAGAAAUCUCAACCUUAAAAGCUUCUAAAGCUUCAUAUUAGAAUAGAAUAUUAAUCCCGUGAGGAACAGGAGUGCUGUGACUUGUGUUCAUGACCACGUGUGUGUGUGUGUGUGUGUGUGUGUUUAAGAGCCACGCCUUGAGCACAUGUUCAGCGCUGUCCUGAGACACCUUGCAUACAAACCACAUCCUGAUUCACCCAAGAUACUAGAUCUGCUGCUUUCUUCUUCUUCUUCUUUUUUUAAGAGUCGGACAAGCCAUGGAUUUUGAGAAUCACAGCCAAGGAUGUAAAAACUGCCAAACGGAUUGCAAUGACAAAUGCCAGUGUCACUGCCACACGGUAACCCAAAGUCUCAAACCUAUGCCAAGGACUGAGGAGACGACGUCCGAGAUGCCUGAAGGGCCUUCAAAAGAGUUUGGCCCCUGUCAUUGUGGCUACUGUUAUUUCGUCCCCUGUGACUCUGGCCCUGGGGAUGGCGGCUCCGGGGAUGGUGGCCCCUGUGACUGCGGCCCCUGUGACUGCGGCUCCUGUGAUUGUGGCUCCUGUGAUUGUGGCUCCUGUGAUUGUGGCUCCUGUAAUUGUGGCCCCUGUGAUUGUAUUAUUCAGUGAAUGUUUGCAGCAUAUUGGACAGACAGUAUUAAGUGAUUCAUCUCUCCGGAGUAGAUGGAUUUGUGGAGACAACGCAGCACUCAGGACCGGUUUCAGGGGUUUCGAAGACGACAACGAUGUGAUCUACAGUAAACUUCAGGACGUCUUGAACAUCAUAAAGACAAUAUUACAUAAAUACAGUUCCAUACUACAGCCACUGUGUAACCGAUACAGAUAUAUGGUUUUUUCUCUCCCUUUUAUUAAAAAUAUUUCCGAACAGUUGAACUAUAUUAUGAAAUAUCUUGAUUCUGAAAUAUGUAAUGCUCCUCACUUCCUGUAUACAAAUCUACAGCAAAACCAGAGUAAGGACAUUUCAGCUUAGAGUGAUAAAGAAUAUACUGUGAAUCUAGCCAAUUAUGUAUCAAGUUAUUCUCUCAUUAUAAUCGUGUAUCUGCCUCUGUGUGUGAAGGCCUGCAUGAAUGGAAUGUGUUUAUGGUAAAGCUGUGCAUGUUUUAACAUGAGACUAAACAUACGUGUUGCUGCCUGUUCCUGUAAAAGGAACCUUCCACUUUUUUCUGGAAAAAGCUCCCCCAGAGUUAAGAAGUUGAGUUUUACUGUUUUUGAAUCCAUUCAGCCGAUCUCCUGAUCUGUUGAUAGCACUUUUAGCAUAGCUUAGCAUAGAUCAUUGAAUCCGAUUAGACCAGUAGCAUUGAGUUAAAAAUGAUUUAAAACUAUUUAAAACUGAACUUUUCUGUAGAUAUAUUGUAUACUAAGACACACAGACUUUCUAGACUGAUAUGAAUAGGAACUGUACUCUAAUUCUGGCGUAAUAAUUAAAGAAGUGAUGUAACUACAGAAGAUGCUACUUGGAUUCAAUGAUCAAUGCUAUCAACAGACCCAGGAUCGGCUGAAUGGAUUCAAAAACGGCAAUAAACUCAAUUUAUUCACUUCUGGGGAAUUGGAGGAGGAGCCUAUUUUCAGAAGAAGUGGAGUGUUUCUUUUAAAGGUCCCAUAUUGUACAGCUUUCUGGAGUUUUAAGAAUGUCCAUAAGAAUAUAUAUUUGUGGUAUAUGUACCUGACACCAUCUCAGUAUUUUUUACAGCCAAAAGCUGGUAGAUUUUGGCCAGUCUAAUUAAUAUUCAUGAGCCUCUCUUCUGAGGUUUUGCAUCACAGUGCUAGCUAGAUAUAAAACAAAGGAAAAACUCAAGAUUCGGCUACAUAAGGAGCUGAAAAUAUCAUCUGGUUGUGGUGUUGGGUGCCAGACUUGACAAUAAUAUAAAAUCUGAAAUUUUAUUGCAUACCUGCUCCCACUGCCAGACCAAAAAAAUGAUGGCAGCUGUGAUUAAACGUGAAAAACAUGAGCGGACUGGAGAGAAACAAGUUUACACACUUAACAGAAACGUAUUGUCUUUUGUUGUUAUGUUUUAUCGCAUGUGCUUAAAACAACAAGUUGAAGUUUUAUGUAUAAUGAUGUGUAAUUGUAUGUGCAUUGCUGGGAUUAACUGUAGCUGGAAUAAUAACGUAUCUGUAAAAGUAGUAGCCGGGUGAUGACUGAAUGUAAGUGGAUUAGACGUCACAUUUUUACGGAAGUCACUGUGAAAAAUCACAGCUACUGCACUGUGUGCCGUUUUGAAACUUAUAUGGUACUUACAAAGCACCUAGACCACACUUAUGACAAAAGACAGGAAAUUUGACAAAAUGGGACUUUUAAAGGAAUAGUUGACUCAAAAAAUGAAAAUUACCCCAUAUUUUAUUCCCCCCGAAGCCAUCCUAGGUCUUUAUGACUUUCUUCUUUCAGAUGAACACAGGCUCUUCUAAGCUUGGCAAUGCUACUUGACAGCGGCCAUUGUUUUAAACCCCGACAUACUACGACAUAAAACUAACCUAUACACCUUCAGAGUCUAUCACAUGUCCUCUGAAGCAGAGCGAAGGGGUUGGGGAACUAUUCCUUUGAAAAUUAAUGAAUUAUAAAAUGAAUUGGGGUCUACUGUCUCAACCUUAUGGUCUCUGACAAUAAAGUCUACCUUCUCUGACAUCAAAA